AUUGAACGCUGGCGGCAGGCCUAACACAUGCAAGUCGAGCGGAUGAAGGGAGCUUGCUCCUGGAUUCAGCGGCGGACGGGUGAGUAAUGCCUAGGAAUCUGCCUGGUAGUUGGUGAUAACGUCCGGAAACGGGCGCUAAUACCGCAUACGUCCUGAGGGAGAAAGUGGGGGAUCUUCGGACCUCACGCUAUCAGAUGAGCCUAGGUCGGAUUAGCUAGUUGGUGGGGUAAAGGCCUACCAAGGCGACGAUCCGUAACUGGUCUGAGAGGAUGAUCAGUCACACUGGAACUGAGACACGGUCCAGACUCCUACGGGAGGCAGCAGUGGGGAAUAUUGGACAAAGGGCGAAAGCCUGAUCCAGCCAUGCCGCGUGUGUGAAGAAGGUCUUCGGAUUGUAAAGCACUUUAAGUUGGGAGGAAGGGCAGUAAGUUAAUACCUUGCUGUUUUGACGUUACCAACAGAAUAAGCACCGGCUAACUUCGUG
rnacentral:rRNA from 1 species